CCUACGGGAGGCAGCAGUGGGGAAUAUUGGACAAUGGGCGCAAGCCUGAUCCAGCCAUGCCGCGUGUGUGAAGAAGGCCCUCGGGUUGUAAAGCACUUUCAGCGAGGAAGAACGCCUGGCGGUUAAUACCCGCCAGGAAAGACAUCACUCGCAGAAGAAGCWCCGGCUAACUCCGUGCCAGCAGCCGCGGUAAUACGGAGGGUGCAAGCGUUAAUCGGAAUUACUGGGCGUAAAGCGCGCGUAGGUGGCUUGWUAAKCCGGUUGUGAAAKCCCCGGGCUCAACCUGGGAACGGCAUCCGGAACUGUCAUGCUAGAGUGCAGGAGAGGAAGGUAGAAUUCCCGGUGUAGCGGUGAAAUGCGUAGAGAUCGGGAGGAAUACCAGUGGCGAAGGCGGCCUUCUGGACUGACACUGACACUGAGGUGCGAAAGCGUGGGUAGCAAACAGGAUUAGAUACCCCUGGUAGUCCACSCCGUAAACGAUGUCGACCAGCCGUUGGGUGCCUAGCGCWCUUUGUGGCGAAGUUAACGCGAUAAGUCGCCCCCCUGGAUGGGAC
rnacentral:rRNA from 1 species